CAAUAGCGUAUAUUAAAGUUGUUGCAGUUAAAAAGCUCGUAGUUGGAUUUCUGGUAGGAGUGACCGUGCCAGACUUGAUUGUCUGUGUAUUGUGUUGUCUCCAGCCAUCCUUGUGGAGAACUUUUCUUGCAUUAAUUUGUAGGGAUUGGGACCCGCAUCGUUUACUGUGAAAAAAUUAGAGUGUUUAAAGCAGGCAAUCGCUUGAAUACAUUAGCAUGGAAUAAUAAGAUAGGACUUUGGUACUAUUUUGUUGGGUUGCAUACCAAAUUAAUGAUCAACAGGAACAGUUUGAGGAUAUUCGUAUGAACAUGUCAGAGGUGAAAUUCUUGGAUUUUGAUCAGACGAACUACUGCGAAAGCAUUUAUCAAGGAUGUUUNCAUUAA
rnacentral:rRNA from 1 species